UGCAAGUCGAGCGGUAGAGAGGUGCUUGCACCUCUUGAGAGCGGCGGACGGGUGAGUAAUACCUAGGAAUCUGCCUGGUAGUGGGGGAUAACGUUCGGAAACGGACGCUAAUACCGCAUACGUCCUACGGGAGAAAGCAGGGGACCUUCGGGCCUUGCGCUAUCAGAUGAGCCUAGGUCGGAUUAGCUAGUUGGUGAGGUAAUGGCUCACCAAGGCUACGAUCCGUAACUGGUCUGAGAGGAUGAUCAGUCACACUGGAACUGAGACACGGUCCAGACUCCUACGGGAGGCAGCAGUGGGGAAUAUUGGACAAUGGGCGAAAGCCUGAUCCAGCCAUGCCGCGUGUGUGAAGAAGGUCUUCGGAUUGUAAAGCACUUUAAGUUGGGAGGAAGGGCAUUAACCUAAUACGUUAGUGUUUUGACGUUACCGACAGAAUAAGCACCGGCUAACUCUGUGCCAGCAGCCGCGGUAAUACAGAGGGUGCAAGCGUUAAUCGGAAUUACUGGGCGUAAAGCGCGCGUAGGUGGUUUGUUAAGUUGAAUGUGAAAUCCCCGGGCUCAACCUGGGAACUGCAUCCAAA
rnacentral:rRNA from 2 species